ACGUACACUCCUGCGGGAGGCAGUAGUGAGGAAUAUUGGACAAUGGGUGGAAGCCUGAUCCAGCCAUCCCGCGUGCAGGAAGACGGCCCUAUGGGUUGUAAACUGCUUUUAUCUGGGGAUAAACCUACUUACGUGUAAGUAGCUGAAGGUACCAGAAGAAUAAGCACCGGCUAACUCCGUGCCAGCAGCCGCGGUAAUACGGAGGGUGCAAGCGUUAUCCGGAUUUAUUGGGUUUAAAGGGUCCGUAGGCGGACUGAUAAGUCAGUGGUGAAAUCCGACAGCUUAACUGUCGAACUGCCAUUGAUACUGUUAGUCUUGAGUAAGGUUGAAGUGGCUGGAAUAAGUAGUGUAGCGGUGAAAUGCAUAGAUAUUACUUAGAACACCAAUUGCGAAGGCAGGUCACUAAGUCUUAACUGACGCUGAUGGACGAAAGCGUGGGGAGCGAACAGGAUUAGAAACCCUUGUAGUCCCAUGAU
rnacentral:rRNA from 1 species